AGUGAACGCUGGCGGUAGGCCUAACACAUGCAAGUCGAACGGCAGCGCAGUAAGAGCUUGCUCUUACGGGUGGCGAGUGGCGGACGGGUGAGGAAUACAUCGGAAUCUACUUUUUCGUGGGGGAUAACGUAGGGAAACUUACGCUAAUACCGCAUACGACCUACGGGUGAAAGCAGGGGAUCUUCGGACCUUGCGCGAUUGAAUGAGCCGAUGUUGGAUUAGCUAGUUGGCGGGGUAAAGGCCCACCAAGGCGACGAUCCGUAGCUGGUCUGAGAGGAUGAUCAGCCACACUGGAACUGAGACACGGUCCAGACUCCUACGGGAGGCAGCAGUGGGGAAUAUUGGACAAUGGGCGCAAGCCUGAUCCAGCCAUACCGCGUGGGUGAAGAAGGCCUUCGGGUUGUAAAGCCCUUUUGUUGGGAAAGAAAAGCAGCAGGUUAAUACCCCGCUGUUCUGACGGUACCCAAAGAAUAAGCACCGGCUAACUUCGUG
rnacentral:rRNA from 1 species